rnacentral:misc_RNA from 1 species
CCUAACCUUUUGGAGGGAGCUGUCGAAGGUGGGAUCGGCGAUUGGGACGAAGUCGUAACAAGGUACCGUACCGGAAGGUGCGGCUGGAUCACCUCCUUUCUAAGGAGCACCACGAGAAACACUCCAAUUGGUGGGGUGUGGCCGUGGGGGUUCUCGUCUGUAGUGGACGAGGGCCGGGUGCACAACAACAGGCAAUCGCCAGACACACUAUUGGGCCCUGAGACAACACUCGGCCGACUUCGGUUGAAGUGGUGUCCCUCCAUC